AUGUUUUACGUCACAUCUAUUUUUAUGUUGUGACUCCUGUUUAAAUAUAGAUGAUUUAAACAAAAUACAAACACUCAUCAUCCUUGCUUGUGUAUCUAAAUUGAAGAUAGACAACAAUAUACAGUACACUUUCAUGACUUUGAUCUUUGUUACUGUGACAGAUUUGCACCCAAACGAACGAAAGGAAAAUGAAGAUGCACUGUAUGAAAUGUAAAAAAGACAGAGAAUGUAUCGUAAAUUCAAAACUUCGUCAGGCCAAGAACGCCAAAAGACCAAAUACAAUUAUGGUUACAGGAAUGUGUACGGUGUGUGGCUCCAAAACCUGUAAAAUCAUUGGAUGAUAGAUUGAUUCCAUCUUGUAACACUUUUCAUUUUGAUACAUUGUGUAUGUCGAUAUGGGUAUUGAAUCGUAUAUGUUUUAUUUCUUUUAAUGGUAAAUAUAAUAAAUCUAUUAGUAAGAA